GAUGAACGCUAGCGGGAGGCUUAAUACAUGCAAGUCGAGCGGUAAUUUAGGAAUAGCAAUAUUUCUGAGCUAGAGCGGCGCACGGGUGAGUAACGCGUACACGACCUGCCCUUUACUGGGGGAUAGCCUUGGGAAACUGAGAUUAAUACCCCAUGGUAUUAUUAUGCUGCAUGGUAUAAUAAUUAAAGCUGAGGCGGUAAAGGAUGGGUGUGCGUCUGAUUAGCUAGUUGGUAGGGUAACGGCCUACCAAGGCGAUGAUCAGUAGGGGGCGUGAGAGCGUGA
rnacentral:rRNA from 1 species